ensembl:lncRNA
AGCUUCCCAGAUGCGCCCGGAUUUCCCACGGGUUUCCCCGCCUGCUGCAAAUAGUGACAAAAGCUGGCACUCUCAGAGCGCUCACUAUAUGUUCGGCACUUCGCCGGCAUCCUGUCUUGUUAUCUCCAUCAAAGCUCUGAAGCAGGCGGUAUUAUUACCUCCAUUCAAAGACAAGGAAUCUGAGGCUCAGAGAUGCCAAGAGAUUUGCUCAAGGUCACACAGCUACUGAAUGCUCUGUGAAGACAUCAUUUCCACCCAGCCUCACAUGGAGCUGGCGGCCAGAGCCUCUUAGUGGGGCUAUAAAUAGAAGAUCAUCAACUCACCUCUUCUGAGCUCAUCACAGGCUCCUGGGUUUACUGCGUGUCUUUCUGCUGCCUGCACGUCACCAUCACUCAGAUUUCCCAGGAGACAUGAAGUGCCCACUGGGGAACUUGGGUCAGCUCCUCAGGCACUGUAGAAGGAAGCUUGAUAAGCAGGCAUACUCUAGACUGAAGACUCACGAACUCUUUUCUGAAGAAACUGAGCACACUCAAGGGAAAGACCUAUAGAUACAUACAUGAUAUGGAUACAGACCCCCAGAAGAAGAGCCAGCUCACGACCAGCCACGCUCUACAGGAAUGUCCGCUGACAAGAUCCACCCAUGCAUGCUGACCAUCCAAUCAUCUGUACAGCACAUAGUUCCUAAAUAUGAUCAGAGAGCCAAGAUCCCCAGACAUUUAAUGAAAGCCUCAGACAUGAAAGGAAGCUCUCCACCCAAAGAAGAGAAGAAUGAAAUACUUUAUAGUCUCUCACCCAAAUAAGAGAACAAUCCAAGAAUGAGCAAGACAUACCCAGGAGAGGGCAGAGGCAUUCUCAGGAUGAUGGUGAAGGAUAUCUGGUGCCAGAUGGGCCAGAUGGAUUACCUAAUAGGUAUGAAUAGGUGGGAAAUUAUGUUCAGGGGCUAUUAGAUGGUUGCAAGAAUUAGCAAUAAGUUUACCAAAAACUGAGUCAAUAAAAAUGUCUGAGGC